rnacentral:rRNA from 1 species
AGCGAACGCUGGCGGCAGGCUUAACACAUGCAAGUCGAGCGGGCGUAGCAAUACGUCAGCGGCAGACGGGUGAGUAACGCGUGGGAACGUACCUUUUGGUUCGGAACAACCCAGGGAAACUUGGGCUAAUACCGGAUAAGCCCUUACGGGGAAAGAUUUAUCGCCGAAAGAUCGGCCCGCGUCUGAUUAGCUAGUUGGUGAGGUAACGGCUCACCAAGGCGACGAUCAGUAGCUGGUCUGAGAGGAUGAUCAGCCACAUUGGGACUGAGACACGGCCCAAACUCCUACGGGAGGCAGCAGUGGGGAAUAUUGGACAAUGGGCGCAAGCCUGAUCCAGCCAUGCCGCGUGAGUGAUGAAGGCCCUAGGGUUGUAAAGCUCUUUUGUGCGGGAAGAUAAUGACGGUACCGC